rnacentral:rRNA from 1 species
UAGGGAAUCUUCGGCAAUGGACGAAAGUCUGACCGAGCAACUCCGCGUGAGUGAAGAAGGUUUUCGGAUCGUAAAACUCUGUUGUUAGAGAAGAACAAGGACGUUAGUAACUGAACGUCCCCUGACGGUAUCUAACCAGAAAGCCACGGCUAACUACGUGCCAGCAGCCGCGGUAAUACGUAGGUGGCAAGCGUUGUCCGGAUUUAUUGGGCGUAAAGCGAGCGCAGGCGGUUUCUUAAGUCUGAUGUGAAAGCCCCCGGCUCAACCGGGGAGGGUCAUUGGAAGCUGGGAGACUGGAGUGCAGAAGAGGAGAGUGGAAUUCCAUGUGUAGCGGUGAAAUGCGUAGAUAUAUGGAGGAACACCAGUGGCGAAGGCGGCUCUCUGGUCUGUAACUGACGCUGAGGCUCGAAAGCGUGGGGAGCAAACAGG